UACAGAGGUCCCAAACGUUAUUCGGAAUCACUGGGCAUAAAGGGCGCGUAGGCGGCUCCAAAAGUCAGGGGUGAAAUCCGGCAGCUUAACUGUCGCAGUGCCUUUGAUACUGUGGAGCUAGAGGGAGGUAGGGGUCUGUGGAACUUCCGGUGGAGCGGUGAAAUGCGUUGAUAUCGGAAGGAACGCCGGUGGCGAAAGCGACGGACUGGAUCUCUUCUGACGCUGAGGCGCGAAAGCCAGGGGAGCAAACGGG
rnacentral:rRNA from 1 species